UGAUAGGAAAGUGUUAUCAGGAAAACUGUCCAAAAGGCAGUGCAGUUGGUCUCAAGCCAAAGGCCCGUCUCCUCAGCCAGUACUAAUGCACGGCAGUGCCAGCGCUUUGAGCAAGUGCUUGACAGUAGAUUUGCUCCUGCUUUCAGGAGAGGAAUUAAGGUCAGAUAUUUGGUGCACUCUUCAGUGCUAGGGUGUGUGUCCAAUACUAAAUGUAUUAUCUUAGAUGAUCCUUUUAGAUAUUUCUUGGUUUUGUUUUGUGUUUGUUUUUGAGUCAGGGCCUGACUGUGUAAUCCAGAAUGGCUUUGAACUCAUUAUGUAGCUGCAAGCUGCCCGAAUUUCACAGCAGUCCUCCUGCCUCAGCCUUCUGAAUGCUGGGAUUACAGCAGUCACCACUGCCAGCUUCUUUCUGGAAUAUGUAUUAUUGUUUCAUUUUAUAAUGAAGAAAAGGUUCAGAAAAAUUAAUUAGCCAACAACACACAGCAUGUAAUUAACAACAGAUCUAUGGAUCCAGCUCUUAAUAUUGAUCCUUUUGGUGGUGUUGCACUGUUCACUUCAGUGUAUGAUGAGAGAAAUACAUGUGGCAUAGUGAGAAGGAAGUGGACAGGAUGCAAGAGAAGCCACAACAGUCCAAGUGAGAAACCUCAGGUUUCUUAAGACAACUGAAACCAAGUUCCUUCUUUUUUGUGCCUAUUUGGCAAGGCCCUCACACAAUACCAUCUUUUGUAUUAGGGCUGUAAUUUUUAAUGUUUAUGGGUGUUUUGCCUUCAUGUCUGGCUGUGCAUCGUGUGUGUGCUUGGUGGAAGUGGAGGACAGAAGAGACCAUUAGAUUCCUUGGACUGGAAUUAGAGACAGUUCUGAGCCGCCAUGUGGGUAUUGGGAACUGAACCCUCAUCCUCUGGAAGAGCUGUCCAUGCUUUUAAUCGCUGAAGCAUUUUCUCUAUUCCUGAUCCAGCAUGGCACUGUGUUACUGAAGCUGGUCUCCCACUUGUUUACUUCUGACUUAAUUGCUACAUUCGAAUUUAUAUACCACCCUUACAUUUUGGUUGGCAAGGAAAAGAAAUACAGUGUAGUGUAUGUAGUUGGCAACUCUGUUCCCCCCAGAAAGCAAUUUUGAUGAGGAACACUGAUGUGGAAUAAGAGGCAGAUAGAGACAAGUAGAAAGGACAGAAUCAUGUCCCUCUGUACCUCUGCAGUAUAGAAGAAGUUCUGACUGAGAAGCAAAUGCAGAUGACAAGGGGAGUCCAGAAUGAGAAGACAUGUAUGAGGUCAGUGCAGUGAUGGCUUAUUGGUUAAAUAGGAAGCAGAAGCUCUUAGAAUUUUUGCUCAUGGACAUGGUUCAGAGGUUAGAUGGGGUUCUAAUAAACUACUGCUGGAAAUCCUCAUCUGCCCUUUUCUUGCCUUUCAACUUCCAUGAAUUCCUAGGCUUUCUAAAUUCUAUGAUGCUAUACCUUAAUGUGAGUAAGUCUGUUUUUCCUUUUUGCUCAGAAUCUGAGACUGAAAGAUGCUCAAGGAAAACAGAUGAUAACUAAUAACUAAGUCAUGAAUGAGUUGGUGAGCCUGAGGGUUGGACUGUUUGGGCCAUAUCUUUCUGGGAUUUGUUUCCCAUGUGGCACCAUUCUGUGGUUAUCUUUGGAAAGAAGUUCUGAUUGCCUUGAGGAUAUGAGAGUGAUGUGUAUGGAGAUAGAAAAUAAGUAGGACUUUAUGCAGAAAACAUGGAUUCUUUGCAUGAAUCUCUUGGUAGCAUAAAGUAGCAGUGACAGUAAAGAUAUAGAGUGAUAAAGAUCCCUAAUGGUCUCUUGCUUCAGGCUGCAGGGAUAACUAUACACACUCUUGAUGCUUUAGUUUAAACUUUUUGGGAUAAAUAUGUAAGAAAGCUGAGAAUUUUUAAGUUUACAGAAAGAAAGGAAAUGAUACUUCAUAUGUUUAGGAACAUCACCAUUGAAAUUCAGGGCAGUGCCCCCUAGUCAAACUUGUUAACGUUCAUUUUAGUUAGAUAUGUGAACAUUUACACUAAGUGAAUUAAAGGCUAUAAAUAGGAUCAUAUUGGUUGGGGCCAAAGUUAUGGAAAAGAUGUUUCUACAGAGAUUAUUUAUUUUGAAAGUAUAGGUGAUGGGCAGUGGGCAUAUAGUUAAUUCUCAGGUUAUUAUGAAGAACGAGAAUGAGAGUGUGCUGGCAAAGCUUUCUGAACAUAUCACAUGGUAGGUAUGUAUGGAAGAUCAUCAAAACACAAAUGUGUUAGAGUUUUGGCUUGAAGAAAACAUUCUCAGCACAUGGCUUUGGAACAAGAAAACUGGGAGAACUGUGCACAGCUAAGAGUUGAAGGUGCCUUAUCUUCCCGCGGCGGAUGGUAACAGACUCAUUGCUCAUGAACAUUGAUUGCACAUGAUUUCUCUUUCCAUGUAUCAGAGAAGAAAAUGGUGUGUGUGUAUGUAUGUGUGACAUGGGACGAUCAUACACGAAUUCCUUUAUAUUUCUUUAUAAUAAUGUAAUAAAUAUCCUACUGCCAUA
rnacentral:lncRNA from 1 species